GAUCAUGGCUCAGGAUGAACGCUAGCUACAGGCUUAACACAUGCAAGUCGAGGGGCAGCAUGGUCUUAGCUUGCUAAGGCCGAUGGCGACCGGCGCACGGGUGAGUAACACGUAUCCAACCUGCCGUCUACUCUUGGACAGCCUUCUGAAAGGAAGAUUAAUACAUGAUGGCAUCGUGAGUCCGCAUGUUCACACCUGAUUAAAGGUAUUCCGGUAGACGAUGGGGA
rnacentral:rRNA from 1 species